AGCAGCCGCGGUAAUUCCAGCUCCAAUAGCGUAUAUUAAAGUUGUUGCAGUUAAAAAGCUCGUAGUUGAACUUCGGGGUUUACCCAUUGGUCAGGCUUAAUUGUCUGUACUGGUGAGAUAAAUCUCUACCUUCUGAGGAACUUUCAUGUCAUUAAUUUGGUGUGAUUGGAAAUCAGGACUAUUACUUUGAAAAAUUGAGUGUUUAAAGCAGGCUAACGUCUGAAUACAUUAGCAUGGAAUAAUGAAAUAGGACGGACUGAUUCUAUUUCGUUGGUUUCUAGGAUCACCGUAAUGAUUAAUAGGGAUAGUUGGGGGCAUUAGUGUUCAAUUGUCAGAGGUGAAAUUCUUGGGAUUUAUUGAAGACUAACUACUGCGAAAGCAUUUGCCAAGGAUGUUUUCAUUAAUCAAGAACGAAAGUUAGGGGAUCGAAGGCGAUCAGAUACCGUCGUAGUCUUAACCAUAAACUAUGCCGACUAGGGAUCGGAUGAUGUUUAAUUUUUAAUGUACUCAUUCGGCGUAC
rnacentral:rRNA from 1 species